rnacentral:lncRNA from 1 species
UGUGACGUGGAGAGACACACUUUAUGUCCAUGUUGUUGGGGGAGCAGCCUGUGCCGUCCCUCGGUGAGCUGGCAUCCUCCUGGCCCUGCUGAGCAGCGAGAGCCACAGCACCUACAGGAGCCCCAGGGUCCUGAGGGAACCGCCUUGAGCCUCAGUCUCCUCAUCUGUAAACCGAGGCUGAUGACUCCAGGCCCAUGUCACAGGACCGCAGAGAGAAAUGCCCGACAUUGGGACUGUGGGGUCACAGGAACGUGGCACUUGCACACCUCCAGUGCUGCAGAAGACAGAGGGUCAGUGUCCACUAGCGGCUUCCAUUGCCAAGGCCCUAAGACACCAUGAAGCCACACACCUGCCUGGACCCACCGAGAAGGAGUCUCUGGAGAGUCUGGGGUUCGGGUGGGAGGAGGGCGAGGUGCUGAGAGCGCAGAAGACAGCAGCCUUGGUCUCCCAGGGGCACCCCCAGCCAGAGGCCAGGGCGCGGGGGCAGUGGGCGCCCUGGAGGGCUCUUUCCCUUUCUGGGCCUCGGUCUUCCUUCGUGUGCAAUGGGCAGGAGCCCCUGGGGGGCCUCAGGGAUGGUGAUCAGGUAAAUACACAGAAUAAAAUCCUGAUUCUCCAUGACCACACAGGGACCCCUCGCGCCCCCAACCCCAGCAGUGAGCUGGUAAGCCAUUGCUGAGGGCUUCUCUAGGGGGACAGCCCUGAUCUGUGACACGUGCCAAUUUCCAUGGUGCAAAUACUUCCACCAUGAUCCAUUUCCAGCUACCAACCUACACGCAGAGUUCGGAACAGCUGUGUACAGCUGGCUCUCGGGAGCCGGUGAGAGCCACUUCCAUGACACCACAGCUCCCCACAGCCCACCUUUCUUCUCCCCUCACCCACCCCUCUCCUGCCACACCGGCCGUGCUUCUGGUCCCCACACACACCAGGCAUGUUCCUGCCUCAGGGCCUUUGCACGUACUGUGUCCUCCACCCGGACGCUCUUCCUCUGGUUGUGGCAUGGCUGGCCUUGUCCUGCCUUCCAAGUCUCAGCUCAAAUGUCACCUUCUCCAAGAAGCCUGCCCUGACCACCUUGGUAAUAUUGCUCUCCCUCCCUGACCCACACACCCCUGCCACUUGUUGUGAUUUUAUGCCGUCUUAUUUCUAUCAAGGCACUCUACGCUACUUGUGUGACACACAUUUCUCUGUCAUGUGUUUUUAUCUGUUCAUUAUCUGUCUAGCCUCCCACAGUGUUUGCUCCAUCGGAGCCAGGCCUCCUCGGCUCGGUCAUUGCUGUGUCCCUUUUGCUUAUAGCACAGUGCCUGGCUCAUGGUAGGUGCGCAGAGGAUGUUAACAGCAUAAAUGAAUGAAUGAAGGAAGGAAGGAAUGAGUGAAUGAAUGAAUGAACAGACAAUGAAUGUCGGAACUUACCUGGCCCGAUCCUCCCAGGCCCUGCCUGGCCCCCUGCACCCUCCCCGUCCCCUCCCCCUCCCAGAGCAGCAGCCCUAAUUGGCCAAGCCCCCCUGAUGGCGCCCCAUUGUGGAACCUGUAAUUGCAGUCUCCUGCCCUGUUCCCCCCACCCCGAAUCUCCCUCUUCAGCAGAAAGGAAGGCCC